AACGAACGCUGGCGGCAUGCCUAACACAUGCAAGUCGAACGAUGGCUUCGGCCAUAGUGGCGCACGGGUGAGUAACACGUGGGAACCUGCCUUUCGGUUCGGAAUAACGUUUGGAAACGAACGCUAACACCGGAUACGCCCUUCGGGGGAAAGUUUACGCCGAGAGAGGGGCCCGCGUCCGAUUAGGUAGUUGGUGGGGUAACGGCCUACCAAGCCGACGAUCGGUAGCUGGUCUGAGAGGAUGAUCAGCCACACUGGGACUGAGACACGGCCCAGACUCCUACGGGAGGCAGCAGUGGGGAAUAUUGGACAAUGGGCGCAAGCCUGAUCCAGCAAUGCCGCGUGAGUGAUGAAGGCCUUAGGGUUGUAAAGCUCUUUCGCACGCGACGAUGAUGACGGUAGCGUGAGAAGAAGCCCCGGCUAACUUCGUGCCAGCAGCCGCCGCGGUAA
rnacentral:rRNA from 1 species